rnacentral:rRNA from 1 species
CACCAGCGCCACAAGUGGGGAUCCUGUUUAUUUGGCCUAAAGCGUUCGUAGCUGGUUGUGUAAAUCUCUUGUGAAAUUGUUCGGCUUAACCGAGCAGCGUGCAGGAGAGACUGCAUAGCUAGGGACCGGGAGGAGUUAGGGAUAUGCUGGGGGGAGCGGUAAAAUGCUAUAAUCCUCAGUGGAUCACCUGUGGCGAAGGCGCCUAACUAGAACGGGUCCGACAGUGAGGGACGAAAGCCAGGGGAGCAAACCGG